rnacentral:lncRNA from 1 species
AUUUACUAAUGGAUAAGAGUAUUCACAAUUCUGCUCGUCAGUUUUCCAUGUACAUAUCUUAUCUCUGAAGGGGUAUUAUGAGAUGAGGUCAACAGGCAGACUUAUGUUUCACUUGGUUAGAACAUCUAUUCCGAAUACUUCUACUGUUUAGGCUUAGUGUUCGUAGUGAAAGGCAGUUCUGAAGCUAAAGAAUUAUUUCACGUGGUUUGUUUAGGAUAAUAUUUUCACAUGAUGUUUAAUUUCUAAAUAAUUUAGGUAUUCGCAGAUGAUAUUUUGGCGGACAGUGACACCAUAUGGAGAAGGGGCACGAAAUUUUCAACUCAUGUUUUUGAUCUUCAGUGAUAGUAGCAUUUGUUGACCCCUUUAAGACGAUGGUAUUCUGUCAUGGUAACCUCCUCACACUCGACUUUUUUCACUAGAAGUAGAUUUUUAUCCUUGUUUAUUUCCUCUCCCUCAGAUUCUUCUCUUUUUAGGUUGAGUUCAGUUUUCAGUGUCUUGAUCCUGCGUAGAUUAAUUUCAAAAUGCACACAACCUUGACUCUGAUUGGCAAAUUAGUCUUGUUUAGUGUAUAGCGGUGUUGCAGGUUGUGGUGAUUUGGAACCCACUCCUUUGAUCUGUUUUGCUAAGAAUGGAGUUUUAGUCCUCUGGUAUUUCAGUGACUUUAUUCUGCAUAGAUUAAUUUCAAAAUGCACACAACCUUGAUUCUGAUUAGCAAAUUAACUCUUGUUUAGUGUAUAGUGGUGUUGCAGGUUGUGGUGAUUUGAAAUCCACUCCUUUGAUCUUUUUAGCUAAGAAUGGAUUUUUAGUCCUCUGGUACCAUUUCUGUCAUUUGAUCCUCUUACAAAAGGCUUCCUUUUUAUACAUUGCUUUAUUCCUUAGGAAUUUGCAGUUUUAAGCGGUUGAUGACAGGGAAAAAAACGCCGUUAAUUGUUUGCUGGGGUUUGUUAUAAAUGAUGUUUCUGUGAGUUGAUUGGAAUAUAAUCUUCACAUACAUAUUGGUACAGAAUCUGGUUUCCUUUGGUGCUUCAUCCACAGCUGGAAAUCGCUUUGGUCAAAUAAAAAUGGAUAUUUACGGAAUAAACGGUGUAAGAUUUUCCUUUCUUUUUCUUCGCUCAUUUCUAGUUCAUCAGUCUCAGUUGUGUAUUGGGGGAGUUCACGAGCUUGAUCAGUUUACAAAGACCAAGGGCAUGCUAAGGGCAACUUAUUCAUUGUUCACUGCCGCUACAUGUGUAUUGGUAAAUUGGAAUCUUUCUUUGUCUCUGCUCUAACAUGAAAUGGAAUCUAGUUCUUUUCAAUCUUUUAAAUCAUCUUAGGUUCCCUGAUGUGUUUCUGCAUUUGCUGAUAGAUUCGACCGGAAGAGGAUGACACAUGUAACUGAUAAGGUGUUAAGUUUAUGUGUGGUGUUAGUUUAUGAUUUUGUUGGCCUUUUUACCUAUAGCUUGUUCUCCCUACCUUUGUAGACAAGGCCUUCAACUUGAAAGGAAGGAAUUCAUUUGGACGUUGGCCUUUUUACCUGUAGUUUGUUCUCCCUACCUUUAUAGACAAGGCCUUCAACUUGAAAGGAAGGAAUUCAUUUGAACUUUACACGGGUCAGGAAUCUAUGGUAAAGUGGUUUUCAGGAUGGUGGAGCCAAUAUUGUUAAUUUUUUGUUGUGGUUUGUUUUAAUGAUAUAUUUUUAAGAGUUGCUUGGAAUGUGAUUUUCACUUCAUAUUGGUACAGAAUCUGGUUUUCUUUGGUGCUUUUUCAUUCACAGCUGGAAAU